GACGAACCGUGCGAACGUUAUUCGGAAUCACUGGGCGUAAAGAGCGUGUAGGCGGCCCGAUAAGUCCGCCGUGAAAGUCCAGGGCUCAACCCUGGAAUGCCGGUGGAAACUGUCGGGCUGGAGUCCGGAAGAGGCGAGUGGAAUUCCUGGUGUAGCGGUGAAAUGCGCAGAUAUCAGGAGGAACACCAAUGGCGAAGGCAGCUCGCUGGGACGGUACUGACGCUGAGACGCGAAAGCGUGGGGAGCGAACAGG
rnacentral:rRNA from 1 species